rnacentral:tRNA from 1 species
CAAAAUUUAACAUAACUAAUGUGUCUCACUUACAUUGAGAAAAUAAUUAUAUUGUAUAAUUAGUUUUGA